CCAGACUCCUACGGGAGGCAGCAGUGGGGGAUAUUGCACAAUGGGGGAAACCCUGAUGCAGCGACGCCGCGUGGGUGAAGAAGUAUUUCGGUAUGUAAAGCCCUAUCAGCAGGGAAGAAAGAAGACGGUACCUGACUAAGAAGCCCCGGCUAACUACGUGCCAGCAGCCGCGGUAAUACGUAGGGGGCGAGCGUUAUCCGGAUUCACUGGGUGUAAAGGGAGCGUAGACGGCCGUGCAAGCCAGGAGUGAAAGCCCGGGGCCCAACCCCGGGACUGCUCUUGGAACUGUGCGGCUGGAGUGCGGGAGGGGCAGGCGGAAUUCCUGGUGUAGCGGUGAAAUGCGUAGAUAUCAGGCAGAACUCCGAUCGCGAAGGCAGCCUACCGGCGCGCUACUGACGCUCAUGCACGAAAGCGUGGGUAUCGAACAGGAUUAGAUACCCGUGUACA
rnacentral:rRNA from 1 species